rnacentral:rRNA from 1 species
UUUAAAUGUAAAAUUAAUAUACUAAAGUAGUAAUAGUUAUGUUCUUGAAAUUUAAAGAUUUUGGCGGUAUUUUAGUCUAUUUAGAGGAACCUGUUCUGUAAUUGAUAGUCCACGAUUAACUUUACUUAUUUAAUAAAAUUUGUAUACCGUCGUUAUUAGAAAAUUUUAAUAGAAUAUAAAUUUUUAAUAUUUUAUAUUAAAAAAUAUAUCAGAUCAAGGUGCAGUUAAUAUUUAAGAAGAAAUGGGUUACAAUAAAUUUAUUUAUAUGGAAUAAAAUAUUAAUAAUUUUAUGAAGGUGGAUUUAAUAGUAAUUAAAUUAAAAUAGAUUUUGUGAUUUUAGCUCUAAAAUAUGU